rnacentral:tRNA from 2 species
UCUCCCUUAGCUCAACGGUAGAGCUUUCGACUUUUAAUCGAAAGACAAGAGUUCGACUCUCUUAGGGAGAA